AACUAUACUAAAGGGAUAUUUGACGCGACUGACGAUAACAACAUCUAUUAAAAAAAAAAAAACUUCAUAUCGGUUCAACGUCCGACCAAAAUAAGCUUUCUUCCCUAUGCUUUAAAUAAAUAAGCAGGAACCAAACUAAAGUACGCCCUGUAUCAUUAUCAUGUCUAACCACCCCAAUUUAGAAUAAUUUAUCGAUACCGAGAAACUAGAGACACAUUAAUUUAUUAGGACAUAUCGACGGAGACAUAGGACGAUCGAAAACGACACUAAGUGUGGUCGUAAUAGAGUCUAUAUUAGACAGAUCGCUAUCUAAAUUAAUUUGAAGAAACUUUGAGAAAAUAAUAUUUGAUUGUUUAAAUUUCGUAUAUGGUAUAAUUGACAAAUAAGUAUAUUAAAUAAUAAACAGGUCACAGGUAAUAUCUGGUGUUUUUAAUAAAUUUAACAAGGAGAAUUACUAUGUGUACAAUUUGUAAAUUACAGGUUUUCGCUCUACCGUAAAACCACCCAACUAUAGUCCAAAGCUCCCAACUAUGGUCCACAAAUAAACUCAAUUUUUCUCGUUCAGGCAAAGUAUGUUUAUAAAUGGAAGGUAAAACUAGGAGUAAACCACAAGGAACAUUGGUAUAGAUACUUAAUUUCCUUUUGAACUUGUCGACCAUAGUUGCAGCAUUGGACUAUAGUUGGGUGGUUUUACGGUAGCUA